GUUGAACAGGAAACCCGGCAGCGCGGGAGCCGCACAGUCGAGGAGGGAGGGCGGGACGCCGAGCCCACGCGCGCCUGCCGGGGCAAGUGGAGGCGAAGCCGGCGAGCGGACGCCCCGAGGGUCGGGGAAGGAACCGAGGUCCGGUCCCCUUCUUAUCCAGCCCGAGACAUCGAGCUCCGGUGGGCGUCCCUGCGCUGGGAAUCCCGCUCGGAGUUUUUCCAGGCCCGGCCGGGCUGCUCCGGGAAAGGCCCUGCUCCUGUUCCGCGCAGCCUCUCCGGCCUCGCCCCUGGAAACCCCGCCCAGGGCGAUGGUAGGGGCCUAACCUGCAGCCACCGCCGGCUCCGCCCACCCAGCCCAUGGGCUCCCUGAGGCCCGCCCAGCCGACGAAAACGCCGCGGCCGCGAUGGCGGCGGACGUGGUGGGGGACGUGUACGUGCUGGUGGAGCACCCCUUCGAGUACACCGGCAAGGACGGGCGCCGCGUGGCCAUCCGGCCGAAUGAGCGCUACCGGCUGCUGCGGCGCAGCACCGAGCACUGGUGGCACGUGCGGCGUGAGCCCGGCGGCCGCCCCUUCUACCUGCCUGCGCAGUACGUGCGCGAGCUGCCCGCGCUGGGCAACCCUGCCGCCGCCGCGCCGCCAGGUCCUCACCCGAGCCCCGCGGCCCCUGAGCCGCUCGCCUACGACUACCGGUUUGUGAGCGCGGCGGCGACCGCGGGCCCCGACGGCGCCCCCGAGGAGUCCGGAGGCCGAACCAGCUCCCUGUGCGGCCCUGCGCAACGCGGCGCCGCGACCCAGCGCAGCAGCCUGGCGCCCGGCCUGCCAGCCUGCCUGUACCUGCGGCCCGCGGCGCCCGUGCGGCCCGCGCAGUCCCUGAACGACCUGGCCUGCGCCGCCGUCUCGCCUCCCGCCGGCCUCCUAGGAAGCAGCGGCAGCUUCAAGGCCUGCAGCGUGGCGGGCUCCUGGGUGUGCCCGCGGCCUCUGGCGCGCAGCGACUCAGAGAACGUCUACGAGGUCAUCCAGGACUUGCACGUCCCGCCGCGGGAGGAGAGCGCAGAGCAGGUGGACGACCCACCGGAGCCCGUGUACGCGAACAUAGAGAGGCAGCCCCGGGCCACUUCACCGGGCGCCGCUGCAGCCCCCCUUCCCAGCCCGGUGUGGGAGACGCACACGGACGCGGGCACCGGGCGCCCCUACUACUACAACCCAGACACGGGAGUUACCACCUGGGAGUCGCCCUUUGAGGCUGCCGAGGGUGCCGCCAGCCCAGCCACCUCCCCUGCCUCGGUGGACAGCCACGUGAGCCUUGAGACCGAGUGGGGCCAGUACUGGGAUGAGGAGAGCCGCAGGGUGUUCUUCUACAACCCGCUGACGGGCGAGACGGCCUGGGAGGACGAGGCCGAGAACGAGCCCGAGGAGGAGUUGGAGAUGCAGCCGGGCCUGAGCCCUGGCAGCCCAGGGGACCCGCGGCCCCCCACUCCCGAGACGGACUACCCCGAGUCGCUGACCAGUUACCCCGAGGAGGACUAUUCUCCCGUGGGCUCUUUCGGUGAGCCCGGCCCUACCUCUCCCUUGACCACACCCCCCGGCUGGUCUUGUCAUGUCAGCCAGGACAAGCAGAUGCUCUACACCAACCACUUCACUCAGGAGCAGUGGGUGAGGCUGGAGGACCCCCACGGGAAGCCAUACUUCUACAAUCCAGAGGACUCCUCUGUUCGAUGGGAGCUGCCCCAGGUCCCUGUCCCUGCCCCUCGAAGCAUCCAUAAAUCCAGCCAGGAUGGUGACACCCCAGCCCAGGCCAGCCCUCCAGAGGAGAAGGUCCCAGCAGAGCUGGAUGAGGUUGGGAGCUGGGAGGAAGUCUCUCCUGCCACAGCUGCUGUGAGGACCAAGACCUUGGACAAGGCAGGGGUGCUCCAUCGCACCAAGACGGCAGACAAGGGAAAGCGGCUCCGGAAGAAGCACUGGAGUGCCUCCUGGACUGUGCUGGAGGGUGGCGUCCUGACAUUCUUCAAGGACUCAAAGACCUCGGCUGCAGGCGGCCUGAGGCAGCCUUCCAAGUUUUCCACCCCUGAGUACACAGUGGAGCUGAGGGGGGCCACUCUCUCCUGGGCCCCCAAAGACAAAUCCAGUAGGAAGAAUGUGCUGGAGCUACGGAGCCGAGAUGGCUCUGAGUACCUGAUCCAGCACGACUCGGAGGCCAUCAUCAGCACCUGGCAUAAGGCCAUUGCUCAGGGCAUCCAGGAGCUGAGGUAGGAAUCCAGAGCCAGAGAGGUGAUAUUGGUGCAGUUGUUGGCAGUGCUCCGGCCACAGCUGGAGGUGCAGGCUCAGAACUGGGAGCCACGUAUUGAGGAAUGCUGACCCAGUUAGAGGAGCUGAGGAAAAUAGAGAAAGAACGCACCAGUCCGCAGAGCUGCCCCCAGAGGAGAGCGAGAGCAGCAGAGUGGACUUCGGGUCGAGCGAGCGCUUGGGAAGCUGGCAGGAGAAAGAGGAGGACGCGCGACCGAAUGCAGCCGCGCCCGCCCUGGGCCCCGUGGGCCUGGAGAGCGACUUGAGCAAGGUCCGGCACAAGCUCCGCAAGUUCCUCCAGAGGCGGCCCACACUGCAGUCGCUGCGGGAGAAGGGCUACAUCAAAGACCAGGUGUUCGGCUGCGCGCUGGCCGCGCUGUGUGAGCGCGAGAGGAGCCGGGUGCCACGCUUCGUGCAGCAGUGCAUCCGCGCCGUCGAGGCCCGCGGGCUGGACAUCGACGGGCUGUACCGCAUCAGUGGAAACCUGGCCACCAUCCAGAAGCUACGCUAUAAGGUGGACCACGAUGAGCGCCUUGACCUGGAUGACGGGCGCUGGGAGGACGUCCACGUUAUCACCGGAGCCCUGAAGCUCUUCUUUCGGGAGCUGCCCGAGCCCCUCUUCCCCUUCUCGCACUUCCGCCAGUUCAUUGCGGCCAUCAAGUUGCAGGACCAGGCCCGGCGCAGCCGCUGUGUGCGUGACUUGGUGCGCUCGCUGCCCGCUCCCAACCACGACACUCUGCGGAUGCUCUUCCAGCACCUCUGCCGGGUGAUCGAGCACGGCGAGCAGAACCGCAUGUCGGUGCAGAGCGUGGCCAUUGUGUUCGGGCCCACGCUGCUGCGGCCCGAGGUGGAAGAGACCAGCAUGCCCAUGACCAUGGUGUUCCAGAACCAGGUGGUGGAGCUCAUCCUGCAGCAGUGCGCGGACAUCUUCCCGCCGCACUGACUGCUGGCCUGUGACUGGGGCGGCGGCCGCGGUCCUGCCACACAAGCUGGGCGGCGGAGGCCACGCAGCCGGGCCUUCUUCUCUCUGGGACCCUCCGCCAGCGCAUAGCCGCAGGCCGGUGUGACUUCUGCACCCUCGGUUCUGAGGGUACGGUGACCCCUAGUGGGCAGUUUGCAAAAUGUGAUUCCUUCUUCCCAACUCCCCAUCCCCCCUUCCCUUCCCGUCACGUCCUGUUUGGGGGUUAAUUCGGUUUUUUCUCUGUUGCAUCGCGCCUACUGUGCGUGUGCGAUAGCGUGUGUGGGGGUGAGAGUUUGUUUUCUGGAAUGGUAGGUGCUGGGAGGAGGAGUUUGAUGGAGGGCUUCCUGGCUGCUUCUGGCCCUCACCUCGUGGAGGCCUUCACAGAGACCCUGUGGGCCCUGGCCCUGUGCUGGCACUGUGCCAGUCAUGAGGCAGCUCUGAUCACUUCCCCACUGUGGAAACAGGACUGACCCAGCCUUCAGCGUGGGCUGCUGAAGCUAUCCUCCUCAGGCCUCAGGGAUGACCUCCUGCCUGAGCCUCUCACAGGCUGGCUGUGGGCCAGUUUCAUCUGCUUUCCUGUUGGGGGUCCCGGGCCUCUGCUGUCCUUGACCCACUGGUGUUCUGUGCAAGGCUUCUUCCCAUUCACCAAGUGCACACCUUGCAUCUGCCGCUCGGCAUGCACCAGUUCCACACACCAUCCCAUUUUACAGACAAGGACGCUGAGGCCUGCAGCAGCAGUGUGACUUGCUCAAGGUCCAGUGAGUGACCUCAUUCCCCAGAAAAGGCUCCUCCCACACCAGAGUACAGCCUGGGUAGGGGGAAAAUCAGUUCUUUCAGCUACCACCCAUCCAACCUUUGGGCCUAUGUGAAAAGAAAGGAACUAAGCUGGGUGUGUUCUGUCUGGACCUGGGGAGGCCCCUGAAGGCAAAGAGGGAAACUGUCCCAGCUGUUCUGUCCUAGGGGAGGGGGACAUAGCCCUAGCAGGAGCUCCCAGCCCCUCUUGGCACUCUGACACACAAGUACACCCAUCUGGGGCCCGCUUUGCCACGAAGAGCUGGGCAGGCCUGCAGGGUGUGGGGAAGGAGGACACAACCUCAAGAAAGGAAGCGUGAACCCCAGGGAACAGCGGGUCCCUUCCCUCCUCAGACACAAGCCACCUCAGCUUGUGGCUCUUGGCCCCCAGCCCCACCAACCCACCUGUUCAUUUAUUCAACAGACAAUGACAGCUGAUAUUUAUUGGACAUUUGCACCAUGCCAAGCAUUCGGCUUGGAUUAUCCCAUUUGUUUCUCACAGCCGGUAUUUAUUGUCUGCUCUUCUGUGCCAGGUGCUGUGCUCUGGGCAGGGGCACUGCAUGGGCUGCCUGCCCUGGUGGAGCUUGUGGUCUGAUGGGUGAGGCUGACCCAAGCCCACCCCAUUGCCAACAGGGCCAGGGCAAGAGUACACACAGGGGCCUCAUACCAUAUGUCUAAAUAUUUAAAAGUUAUCAAUCAAGCUAACAACUGUUAAAUAAAAUAUGUUCUAUUCUCCUA